UGCACAUAUAAAAAAUAUAAAAGGAAUAAAAGAUGUAGAUGAAGUUACUCUGAGCACUGAGAGUCAUAUGUAUAGAAAUCAUUUCCUUGUCAUCUCUAUUUAUAGAGUUGAGUUGGAGAUUUUCAUACAUGUGCCUCUUCGUCGCUCAGAUUAACUUCAUCUUGGUCUCUUCACUCCUUACCAUUUUUUGUGUGUCUGCA
rnacentral:pre_miRNA from 1 species